GGUAUUUGCUAACCCAGCUUUUUUUCUUUUUUGAGGGGGUUUCUCGCCCCCAGAUGAGUUCGACUUCUUCCCAUUGGUCAUCGGCGGCGGCGUGGGCGUGGUCUUGCUGCUCCUGGUGAUCUUAUUGGCUGCUUGGCUGUGGCGGAGGAGGAGGGGGCGUUCCCGCUGGCGGGGGCUGCGCCCCGGCGACGACACCGGGACCCUCCGCAUGGGGGACCUCGAGGCGGCCGCCUGAGCCAGGCCACGCCCACCAAGAUGGCCGCCGGUGCGCCCAGACCAUGCCCCCAAGAUGGCCGACAACUCGCAGACCACGCCCCCAAAUGAUGCUGAGACCACGCCCCCAAGAUGGCUGAUAAUUCGCAGACGACGCCCCAAAAAUGGCAUCAAGACCACACCCCCAAGAUGGCUGACAAUUUGCAGGCCACGCCCCCAAACAAUACUGAGGCCACGCCCCCAAGAUGGCCACCAGCUCAAAGGCCACGCCCCCAAAAUGGCUGAAAAAACAAAGGCCACACCCGAAUAUGGCUGACAAAAUAAAGGCCACGCCCCCAAUAUGGCCAGUAAGGCUGAGGCCCCGCCCCCAAAAUGGCGGAAGUGGGUGGGGCCAGGCCAAGGCAGCCAGUGGGGAUUGGUGGAUCCGA